GCCUCCCUCCGCCGCCACUCANACUCCUACGGGGCGAGGCAGUGGGGAAGUAUUGCGCAAUGGGCGAAAGCCUGACGCAACGACGCCGCGUGGGGAUGAAGGCUCGGUUGUAACCCUUUCAGCAGGGACGAAGCGCAAGUGACGGUACCUGCAGAAGAAGCGCCGGCUAACUACGUGCCAGCAGCCGGGUAAUAC
rnacentral:rRNA from 1 species